rnacentral:misc_RNA from 1 species
GUUUAAUAAUUCAUAUUGGAGUUCAAAAAGAACAACAAAAAGAUUCAGACGAUAAAAGUUUGAAGUAUGUUUUGCGCCGGCAAAGAGCUGGAAAGAGUCGUUAUCGCUCAGAGACUGUGCGGAUGAUGGUGUUCGUCUCGCGUUAGUAUCGCGGCACGAGCACCAUCACCCCGGCAUCUCCUCGCUUCGGACCCCAAACCAAGUCUAUCGCCAACUGGGGUUAUAUUUUAGUGUUCGAUCCCGUAAACGAACGUUUUAAUAAUGAUCCUUCCGCAGGUUCACCUACGGAAA